rnacentral:rRNA from 1 species
UCGAGAAUCUUUCGCAAUGGGCGCAAGCCUGACGAAGCGACGCCGUGUGAGCGAAGAAGGCCUUCGGGUUGUAAAGCUCUUUCGCUAGGGAACAAGAGAGACGUGGUAACAUAACGUCGAUUUGAUGGUACUUGGUAAAGAAGCACCGGCUAACUCCGUGCCAGCAGCUGCGGUAAUACGGAGGGUGCAAGCAUUGAUCGGAAUUACUGGGCGUAAAGGGCGCGUAGGCGGUUUUGAAAGUCAGAUGUGAAAUUCCAGGGCUCAACCCUGGAGCUGCAUUUGAAACUUCAAGGCUAGAGGUCAGUUAGGGAAAACGGAAUUCCACGUGUAGCGGUGAAAUGCGUAGAUAUGUGGAAGAACACCAGUGGUGAAGACGGUUUUCUGGGCUGAACCUGACGCU